rnacentral:SRP_RNA from 1 species
GCCGAGCUUGCACGAUAGCUUGUAACCCGAAUGGGGGCACCAAGAUGGUGGAACAUGGCUAUGACUUCACUGGGUUGGUCUGGUGGUUGCACCUUGUUGGCCUGCCCGCUCCAAGUCGAGAGGUGGGCCAUGUGUCUUUAGUGAAAGCUAAGGUCUUGUGGUUCCUAGACAGGAGGGCAAAGCGUGAGGCUGGUGUCACAGAGCAGCGAACACUUCUGGCUCCUGACAGUGGAGGGAUAACAGGCUGCUGCACCUUCAGCCCACAAAUGCCUAGUGAACCCAGCUACCUGAACUAUCAUUUUC